rnacentral:rRNA from 1 species
UAGUGGUCUUAUGCCUACAUCACUAAUGCAGCAUAUCCCAUUAUAACUCCAUAGUUAAACAUGCUUGGAUUAGAGUAGUAUUGGCAUGGGUGACCUCCCAGGAAGUCCUAGUGUUUACAUGUU